rnacentral:rRNA from 1 species
UACAGAGGGUGCGAGCAUUAAUCGGAAGUACUGGGCGUAAAGCGUGCGUAGCCGGGUAUUUAAGUCGGAUGUGAAAGCCCCGGGCUCAACCUGGGAAUUGCAUUCGAGACUGAAUAGCUAGGGUGCGGUAGAGGGAAGCGGAAUUCCAGGUGUAGCGGUGAAAUGCGUAGAGAUGUGGAGGAACACCGAUGGCGAAGGCAGCCCCCUGGGAUGACACUGACGCUCAUACACGAAAGCGUGGGGAGCAAACAGG